UUAUUUUCUUACUGCCUGUAUUGUUAAAUUCAAGUCAACCAGGGCACUUAAGUGGCAAUCUGAAGGUUACAGGUUGUUUUUUCCGUAAUCUUCUGCCAGUGAGGUGAGGACCAGGCGUCCAUUGUUGUGGAGUGAACCAAAGACUGGCAAAGAAGAUUAGCCUCUGUGAAGAAUCAAAUAUAUGUUGUGAUCCAGGAUUGCUGUUCUCAAGGUGAAACUGAUGUUGCCGCCGGACUCUGCAGUGUGUCCAGGACAGGUCAUUAUUAGCCCUCCUUUUAUCUCUCUGCCCUACAUUCUGGAGCCAGCAGCAAACAUCAAGAUUCUCAACAGACGUAUCCCCAAGCAAGGGAAGUAUGAAAUUGUGCAUACUCUAAUUGGUCAAUUGGAAUGAACUGCACUCUUGUUGACACUGUGUAUGUUAAUAUACAGUAUCUCACAUAAGUGAGUACACCCCUCACAUUUUUGCUAAUAUUUGAUUAUAUCUUUUCA